rnacentral:rRNA from 1 species
CCGGCGACCGGCGCACGGGUGAGUAACACGUAUGCAACCUGCCCUCUUCAGGGGGACAACCUUCCGAAAGGGAGGCUAAUCCCGCGUAUAUCGGUUUCGGGCAUCCGAGAUCGAGGAAAGAUUCAUCGGAAGAGGAUGGGCAUGCGGCGCAUUAGCUAGACGGCGGGGUGACGGCCCACCGUGGCGACGAUGCGUAGGGGUUCUGAGAGGAAGGCCCCCCACACUGGGACUGAGACACGGCCCAGACUCCUACGGGAGGCAGCAG